rnacentral:lncRNA from 1 species
GUGCCUGUCCUGUGCUUGACAUUGGAUGGGGAGGGAAGGAAGACACGGUAAUGCCUCUUAUUCUUACCUUGUUUAGAACAAAAGAAAGAAAAGUCCUGGCUCAGUGGUUCCAGGCAUCGGUGGCACACUGCCUGUCAGAUCUGGACUGCUUAGCCUGGUGAGUGAGUUCAUGAUGUUUGACAUGCUAUAAAGUUGCAGGGGAAACCUACUUGAAGUAUCUCAGUGUUCAACAACUGGGCCAUGUGGCUAUAUGGAAGAUGGUGUGUGCAGGGGGUGAUGUGCAUUGGCCCCAUGGCACUACCUCUCGCAGCUGUCAGAACUACUGCAGGCUAGUCAGUGGUGACACGACUCUUUAAAAGUCACAGUAUCAUCUCUUACUUCAGAAAAUAGGGCCUUGGAAAAAUAUUUGCUCUGGAUGCGUUUCUCACUCCCCACAACCAACCCCCCCCCCAUUUACAAACCACAGAAAGACGCUACCUCUGACUCAGAAAUUGGAGCUACCAUUAAAAUGCAAGUUUUAAUUUCAGAAACAUGUGAGGAUUUCCAUGGUUGGCAUUGGGAAGUGUGUGUGUGUGUGUGUGUGUGUGUGUGUGUGUGUUAGGGUUUCUAUUGCUGUGAUAAAACACCAUAACCAAAAUCAACUUGGGAAAGAAUAGAUUUAUUUCAGCUUAUAGUUCUGCUUCACAGUUUAUCAUCAAAGAAGUCAGGGCAGGAACUUAAGCAGGGCAGAAACCUGGACACAGGAACUUAAGCAGAAGCCAUAGAGGUAUGCUGCUUACUGGCUUGCUCAUCAUGGCUUGCUCAGCCUGCCUUCUUAUAGAACCCAGGACCCCCAGCCAUAGCUUGGCACAGCCUAUAGAGAGCUGGGCCCUCUCGAAUCAAUCACUAAUCAAGAAAAUGCCCUACACGUUUGCCUACAAUCCAUCCAAUGGAGGCAGUUUCUUGGUUAAGAUUCCUUCUUCCCAGAUGAUCCUCAUUUGUGUCAAGUUGACAUAAAAACUAUCCAGUACUCUCUCUCUCUCUCUCUCUCUCUCUCUCUCUCUCUCUCUCUCUCUCUCUCUCUCUCUCUCUCUUUCUCUCUCUCUCUGUGUGUGUGUGUGUGUGUGUGUGUGUGUGUAGAGAGAGAGAGACAGAGAGACAGAGAGAGAGACAGAGUCUUAAUGUUACUCUUUUAAUGACAGUUUAUGAUUAACUUUUCCUACUAAUAAUCCCCAAACUUUAUUGGGUUAACGGAACAAUUACUCAUUCAGCUCACAAACUUCUGAGUUGACAUUGUGCGCUGGACUCAGAUGGGUGGCUUUCCAUUGUCAAUGGUUCGCUCUAUGUCAGAUGGGCGUGGCUUGGGGUUAGCUGGUUCAGAUUGGCCUCUGCUGCAAUGGCUGCCCUCCAAGCUCCAGUUUGGCCCAGGCUCAUGUGCAUGUUUGCCUAGCACAGUUCUGAGAAGAACUGCAGUGUGCAAGGUGUGAGUGUGCAAGAACAAGGCCACAUUUACUGUGUUCCACGGCUCAAGUAAAUUCGUGUUAGUCUAAUCCAAAAGGAUGGAAAAUUAGGCUCCACCCUCCAGUAAGAAGAGCUCCAAAGUCACCAUUAAAGGAGUGUAGCUACAGGCAAAAUAGAACAUAUUAGAUAAGAAAUGCCCAGAGAUUGGCAUCAGCUCACCUUUUCACUUCUAUCUAUGGGUCUGCUUUGCUUUUCCUUUUCAUAUUAUUAAUGUCUUUCAUUCUUGAUAUUUGGUAUACUCAGUACUAUACAACUUAGGGGCAUUGUCAUGCAAGCGUAUAUUAAACAUUGAGCCCAUGGCAGCCUUGCUUCCCACACUGCCUUUCUCAGCCCAAUCCUCCUUGUUAGUCAGUCCCUUUUGCUUCUAUAGGCAGUUUUGUGUCUACUUUCGUGUUACAUGCACGUACAUCAUAUCAUUUUCUUC